rnacentral:lncRNA from 1 species
AGAAAUAUAUAGUUAAAGUGCAAAAAAAAAAAAUUCAGCCACGUGGGAUGAUUCAGUCAGCAGUCCCGACGAAGCGGAGCACGCCGCAUGUCAAAACACAUUGACGUCGGUGCCACGUAGGAGGCCACAUGUUCAAUCCGCGUGACCAGCAAUCUGACGACCCAAGUUCGAUCCCGUGCAUGUGAAUGACUUAGAUUCGUUCCCUCUUUAGGCGCAAUCGGAUGGACGAGAUCAAUCGCGAUGAACGGUCCAGAUUCGUUUCCUUCUUAAGCGCGAUCAGAUGGACGAUAUCAAUCACGAUGAACAGCACAUAUCAACACGGGAUGAGUAUAAAUACCUCGCAUCGCAGGGCACCCAAACCCUAGCCGCCAGCCCCCAUUAGAGAAGAAGAACCAGACACUGGAGAAGAAGGUCGAUCGUCAACUGCCACUCCACCGGAGCCACACCCAACUGCCAAAAAAGGUAAAAUUUUUCUCUACCAGCUCGGAAUAUAAUUUCGAGCAUCCUUGUGGCCAAAUCAGAGUAAGAGGGAUGACAGGUGAGCUUAAAACUACAGGUAAAGUCCGGCAGAGUCGCCGCAGCCAAAACCCAAAAAUCUCUUCGAUGAGACCCUUCCUGCUUAUUGUUUCC